GACGAACGCUGGCGGCGUGCUUAACACAUGCAAGUCGAACGGAAAGGCCCUGCUUUUGUGGGGUGCUCGAGUGGCGAACGGGUGCGUAACACGUGAGUAACCUGCCCUUGACUUUGGGAUAACUUCAGGAAACUGGGGCUAAUACCGGAUCGGAGCUCCUGCUGCAUGGUGGGGGUUGGAAAGUUUCGGCGGUUGGGGAUGGACUCGCGGCUUAUCAGCUUGUUGGUGGGGUAGUGGCUUACCAAGGCUUUGACGGGUAGCCGGCCUGAGAGGGUGACCGGCCACAUUGGGACUGAGAUACGGCCCAGACUCCUACGGGAGGCAGUAGUGGGGAGUAUUGCACAAUGGGCGGACGCCUGAUGCAGCAACGCCGCGUGCGGGAUGACGGCCUUCGGGUUGUAAACCGCUUUCGCCUGUGACGAAGCGUGAGUGACGGUAAUGGGUAAAGAAGCACCGGCUAACUACGUG
rnacentral:rRNA from 1 species